UGUGUCUUAAGUUCAUUUGGUCUAGUGUCCAGUUUAAGUCCAAUGUUUCUUUGUUGAUUUUCUGUGUAGAUGAUCUGUCUAAUAAUGAGAGUGGAGUGCUGAAAUUCCCUACUAUUAUUGUAUUGGAAUCUAUUUUUUUUUCUUUAGAUCAAACAUUUGCUAAUGAAAUUGAGUACUCCAGGGUUGGGUGCAUAUUUAAAAUUCUUAUAUCCUCUUGGGCCGGGCGCGGUGGCUCAUG
rnacentral:lncRNA from 1 species